rnacentral:rRNA from 1 species
UACGGAGGGUGCAAGCGUUGUCCGGAAUCACUGGGCGUAAAGGGCGCGUAGGCGGCGUGACAAGUCACUUGUGAAAUCUCCGGGCUUAACUCGGAACGGCCAAGUGAAACUGUCAUGCUAGAGUGCAGAAGGGGCAAUCGGAAUUCUUGGUGUAGCGGUGAAAUGCGUAGAUAUCAAGAGGAACACCUGAGGUGAAGACGGGUUGCUGGGCUGACACUGACGCUGAGGCGCGAAAGCCAGGGGAGCAAACGGG